UUGUAGCUAUUCCAUCUAGAAAAUGCUUGGUCUGAUUGAUUUUGGAAGCUAAGCAGAAUCGUGCCUGGUUAGUCCUUUGAUGGGAGACUGCUGGGAAUGCCAGUUGCCCUACACA
rnacentral:rRNA from 1 species